GGGCCCUGCGUGGCAUCUGGGGAUUUAGAGACGUCCGGCUCCCACCGGGCGGAGGAGGGGAAACCCCGGCAAAGAGCCGGGACUCCGGGAGGAUCCCCUGCGUAUUUGAAUAUUCAGCUCAUUUGGACGUGUUCAGAAGUCAGAAAACUACUGUCAUGCAAGCAGCUAGGAGAGUUUCAAACUUGAAGAACCGCAAAGCAGAACAAGUGGAGAAGGACUUGGGAGGGCAGGUUGCAACAUGCUGACUCCUCUCGGUGCCGGUGCCGGAGAAGACCGGAGCGAUUGGAAAAAGUAUUACAUCAAUGGUAUUAUGGAAAACACUUAAAAAGGUGGACUCCUAGGGGUGCCUGGGUGCCUCAGUCGGUUAAGCGUCCGACUUCUGUUCAGGUCAUGAUAUCAUGGUUUGUGGGUUCGAGCCCUGCAUCGGGCUCUGUGCUGACGGCUUGGAGCCUGGAGCCUGCUUUGGAUUCUGUGUCUCACUCUCUCUGCCCCUCCCCUGCUCAUGGUCUGUUUCUCUCUCUGUCUCAAAAAUAAACAAACAUUAAAAAAAAAAUUAAAAC